UACGGAGGGGGCUAGCGUUGUUCGGAAUUACUGGGCGUAAAGCGCACGUAGGCGGAUUGGAAAGUCAGAGGUGAAAUCCCAGGGCUCAACCUUGGAACUGCCUUUGAAACUCCCAGUCUUGAGUUCGAGAGAGGUGAGUGGAAUUCCGAGUGUAGAGGUGAAAUUCGUAGAUAUUCGGAGGAACACCAGUGGCGAAGGCUGCUCACUGGCUCGAUACUGACGCUGAGGUGCGAAAGCGUGGGGAGCAAACAGG
rnacentral:rRNA from 1 species